rnacentral:rRNA from 1 species
GACGAACGCUGGCGGCGUGCCUAAUACAUGCAAGUAGGACGCAGUUGCGAACGGGUGAGUAACGCGUAGGUAACUACCUAUUAGAGGGGGAUAACUAUUGGAAACGAUAGCUAAUACCGCAUACUAGUAGAUGGACCUGCGUUUUAUUAGCUAGUAGGUAGGGUAAUGGCCUACCUAGGCAACGAUACAUAGCCGACCGGAGAGGGUGAGCGGCGACACUGGUACGGAGACACGGCACAGACUCCUACGGGAGGAAGCAGUAGGGAAUCGUCGGCAAUGGGGGGAACCCUGACCGAGCAACGACGCGUGAGUGAAGAGGGUUUUCGGAUCGUAAAGCUCUGUUGUUAAGAAAGCGGUACUUAACCAGAAAGGGACGGCAAACUACGUGCCAGCAGCCGCGGUAAUUC